ACCACAUGGCAGUGCACAUCGCGACUUCGUGAUGUCAUCAAGAGUCUUUAUAAGUAAACCGGAAAAAAGAUUUGCUUGAUGAGUGUUAGGGUUAGGUUAGGUGGAAUUCAAUUCAAUACAUAACCUUACAAAGUACGGCCCGGUGUUGUUUUAGGGGAGAUUUUAUUCUUUGUUAUCAGUAAUAUGGAUAAUGAAGAAAUAAAGAAACCAAAAAGCCAUGAAACAAAGAGUGCAGUUUUAUUAAAUUCAAGAAUUUUCAAAUUGGUCGAGACCAUUGAGAAAAAGAUUAAAGCAGGCCAUGCUGACAAAGAUCUAGAAGAGAUGAAGCAAUUACGUGAGCAGUGCGGCAGUGAAGAUCCUCUUGUCAGUGUGACUGCGUGUCAUGGCCUGGUGUAUCUAGUUAAGUCCUCUAUGUGUCCUUUGGUUAACACGGUCUCGGCUCUCGUAGCUUCACUCUUCUCUGUUAAGAGUGUCACGGGGGUGACGAGUGCACUGACAGAGCUGCUGGUGUUGGAGCUGAGAUGUAAGUUGGCUGAUGGGUCUGCCUACUGCUGCCCGUAUAACACCAGGUCACCUCUUCACCCCCUGGUGGCAGUGUUGAAACGCAGGCCCCUCGCCUGGCAUGAUGUCCUCAACCAGCUCUCUACCCUCUGCUCACACUCAGAUAAUCAGGUGGUCAGUAAUAGUCUGGAGCUCGUGCGACCUGUGUUGGUCUACGUGCUGAUGGAAGGCAAUGACUUGCCCGACAGCUGUAGACUCCAGGCCUUCAAAAUUGUCAUUAGCCACUUCUCAGAUACUGACUUUUUGAUAGAAGCUCUUGCCUCCUGCCUUUGCUGGAACAACAACCGUCUUCUAGAAGUUGUGCAACUUGUGUCAGCCUUGGGAGAGGCGGCUGUGGCAAGCAAGCAUGGGUUACAUGUGUCACUGAGCUGCUUAGCUUUGGCCACCCUGGUACCUCGACUCCUGCAGACCGCAGUGUGUCCCCAGCCCACACUACAGCUGGUCGCUCGGCUUGCUGCCAUUGCUACCAACACGCACUCCACCUUGCUCGCUCUUCUCGCUGACUCCAUCCCCUCCUGCCCUGCACCACACCUGCAGCACCUGUUGGCCUUCUUUGUAGAGCUUCUGGGACGAGGACAGUGCUCCCUAGAUUGUACCUGGAUGUGUGUGAGUGCUCUGAUGCCAUGGUUGGCUGCUAGUCCUAGCCACCUUCACCAGGCACUGCACACUGCUUCCUUGAUUGUGAAUCAUGCUUCUGCUGCCACUGCCAAUGCCUCAACCACUGCCACUCUGAUUGGGAAUUCUGCUGUGGCUGCUGUUGUCUCAGCUGAUCCCAGACUUACACAGGCAAUUCAUUUGGCUAGAUUGAGUGAGAUUUUACGAACUGAUAGCAGUGCAACUCUACAGUGGCUCAAGUCUGCUCAAGUGAUAAGAAUGGAUCAGAUUCAUCAGUACGUCAGUGCUUUAUUGAUAAGCCGUGCGGAAACAGAAGUUAAGUUGGCAGCACUGGAAGCUCUGGUGUGCUCUCAGGCUCCCAUGGCUACAUCACACAACCUGACACUGAUGUUGUACCAACUGGCUAAAGAGAAACAGCCAAAGGUCCAACUGGCACUGCUUAGAGCUCUGCCAUCUACAGCGGUUGAAAAGAACAAUGUGUUGGGUGUGAUCUCAACGUUGGAGGCCCUGCGACAGUCUGGUAAUCAACAGCUGUCUCUGCUGGCGGUGGAGCUGUACUGUCAGUUGUGGCUCAAUCAGGAGCGGUGCUACCCACAGCUGAUGGGUGUGUUGGACCAGAACUGUGAAAAUUACCCUUGGCUCGCUAACUUGCUGCAGGCCAACAUCUGCAAGAUCAUCUGUGAUACCCGACCAGAGAUGCACGGCAAGGAGGUGGUGCCCAAGGUAUCUGACAUACUGAACAAGUGUGGGGGAGUAAAGGACAGUGCAGCAUCUGCUCUCGCUCUGGAGGCCCUGAUACCUCUAUGUUGCCACGAUGUCGUCGAUAUCUUUACCAUUUGGCGCAGCCUGGCACCACGGUUCUCUAAAGACAAGCGACCGCCAGUCAUCAAGAGCCUGUGUGAGCUGCUGAGUGUAGCUGCCAACCAAAAGUCCGGAGACUGUGACAGUGACAGCCUGGUACAAAUAAUCAAGUGGCUGUGGAACCUGGUCGCUUACAGCAAGCAGCCAUCCAUUGUCGACGAUGCACUCAAAGCUUUAUCAAAGUUCCGUUUGGAGCAAAUGACUUUGAAGAUGCUCCCAGAAUGCUUCCGCAAAGACAUCACAUUGCCACCUGAGAUGGCCAAAACUCCAGUAGAUGCUGCUCGGAGACCUGAAGAUGUUCUGGAUUACAUUCCAGGUGAAUGCUGGAUCCAACUGCUGAGACAUGUUGGCACUGAGUCAGCCAGUUUGGCCAUUGCGUGCUGGAUCAGAAUGGAACUUGCUACAUUUCGCUCCAAUCGUUAUCAGGUGGACAGACAAGAGCCAAGAAAUUACAAAGACCUGCCGGCUCGGAGUGUGGUACGGGGUGUGGUCACCAGUCUGCAACACCUGUCUGCUCCUACGGACAGCAGUCUAGCCAACCUCUGUGUGGUAGCCCUGAUUCAGCCCUCACCCAAACCCUUGCCUUCACUCAGCUGGGCGUUCCUCUCCGAUUUGCCUCAGGCCGAUCCUGCCCUUGCCCACAAUAUUGUGAGGCUUGCAGCCAAGCAGUCUCAGAUAUCUCCCUCAGCUCGCAAGAUUACAGACAGUUACAUCUCUAGUUGUGGCACUGAUAGAGAAAAAAUUGAGUUCUUGUAUACAAUUCUGAGUGAUCUAUGCCGUGGGAUACCUCCUAAUACACUGAAACCAUUUUUAGAAAGGACUCUACAAACUGCAUUGAACCAGAAAGAUAAUGAACAUUUGUCUACUAUGCUGGGCUGUGUGAAAGCAACAUUGAAGGAAGAGAAGAUACAUGAAGCCAACAGAGCACUACUUCACCAACAAGUGAAGGCGCUGUGGGACAUGAUUGAGCCGCAACAUGAAGGAACAGGCUUUGGCUCUACAACUAGUCUGUGAGGUUAUCACUCAGCUCUCAGGACACUCUGGUGCUUGGCCGUGGCUACAAGAGCUCAUGGGGCAGACACACCUUACCACUGUUAACAACAAGGGUGGUGUAGAAUUUCUGGUGUCUGUAUUUGUGCUGUGUGUGGAUAUCAUGUCAGGCUACAGCAGUCUGGAGACAGCAGGUCAGGACAGUAGAGCACCCAGGCUCCCUCAGGCUGUGGUCUCACUGGUCAAUCAACAU
rnacentral:misc_RNA from 1 species